rnacentral:rRNA from 1 species
UACGUAGGGUGCGAGCGUUGUCCGGAAUUAUUGGGCGUAAAGAGCUUGUAGGUGGCUCGUCGCGUCGGGAGUGAAAACCCGCGGCUUAACCGCGGGCCUGCUUUCGAUACGGGCGGGCUAGAGUUCGGCAGGGGAGACUGGAAUUCCUGGUGUAGCGGUGGAAUGCGCAGAUAUCAGGAGGAACACCGGUGGCGAAGGCGGGUCUCUGGGCCGAUACUGACGCUGACAGCGCGAAAGCCAGGGGAGCAAACGGG